rnacentral:rRNA from 1 species
AUAGCGUAUAUUAAAGUUGUUGCGGUUAAAAAGCUCGUAGUUGAAUCUCAGUUCCAGACAGGCGGUCCGCUCCGGUGGUUACUGCCUGGCCUGAACAUCCUGCCGGUUUUCCUGCGGUGCUCUUGAUUGAGUGUCGUAGGUGCCCGGCACGUUUACUUUGAAAAAAUUGGAGUGCUCAAAGCAGGCGUCCCGCCUGAAUAAUGGUGCAUGGAAUAAUGAAAGAGGACUUCGAGUUCUAUUGUGUUGGUUUUCGGAACACGAGGUAAUGAUUAAAAGGGACAGACGGGGGCAUUCGUAUUGCGACGCUAGAGGUGAAAUUCUUGGACCGUCGCAAGACGAACUACAG